rnacentral:rRNA from 1 species
UACGAAGGGGGCUAGCGUUGCUCGGAAUUACUGGGCGUAAAGGGCGCGUAGGCGGACAGUUUAGUCAGAGGUGAAAGCCCAGGGCUCAACCCUGGAAUUGCCUUUGAUACUGACUGUCUUGAGUACGGGAGAGGUGUGUGGAACUCCGAGUGUAGAGGUGAAAUUCGUAGAUAUUCGCAAGAACACCAGUGGCGAAGGCGGCUCACUGGCCCGAUACUGACGCUGAGGCACGAAAGCGUGGGGAGCAAACAGG